UACGUAGGGACCAAGCGUUGUUCGGAAUUACUGGGCGUAAAGCGCGCGUAGGCGGACCUGCAAGUCGGGGGUGAAAGCCCGAGGCUCAACCUCGGAACUGCCUUCGAUACUGCGGGUCUCGAGUCCGGGAGAGGUGAGUGGGAAUUCCUAGUGUAGAGGUGAAAUUCGUAGAUAUUAGGAAGAACACCAGUGGCGAAGGCGGCUCACUGGCCCGGUACUGACGCUGAGGCGCGAAAGCGUGGGGAGCAAACAGGG
rnacentral:rRNA from 1 species